rnacentral:lncRNA from 1 species
GGAGUGGUCAUCUACACUUAUAAAGCAAAGGUCUUAAGUUCCUUAUCAUAGGAAGAACAUUUUCUUUGACCUUUAGGUGCUUUUAUAUUCAUCUCAAAAACAAAAUUCUGAUCUCAGGACUUGGCGAACCACUGCCAAGAAAGAAAUUCUGAUCUCAGGACUUGGCAAACCACUGCUGAAACUUCACUUCUACACAGACAGGCUUUCCUUCCCAUAACUCCAGACCAGCUGAGCAAUUAUAAGGUGUUUGCAAAGAAGACAGCUCUAUGGCAAAAUGACGAUGUUCAUUCCCAGCACAAAGGAGAGUACAGGAAUGCAGCAGAGACAGGUUUUCGAUAUGUUACCCAGGCUCGUCUUGAACUUCUGGGCUCAAGUGAUCCUCUUGCCUCAGCCUCCCAAAG